AUGCUGGUGAGGAUGUAGGGAAGGGGGAACACUCCUCCAUUGCUGGUGGGAGUGCAAACUUAUACAACCACUUUAGCAGUUUCUCAGAAAAUUGGAAGUAAUUCUAUCUGAAGACCCAGCUAUACUGCUCCUGGGCAUACACCCAAAAGAUGUUCCACUAUACCACAAGGAUAUGUGCUCCAUCGUGUUCACAGAAGACUUAUUCAUAAUAGCCAGACACUGGAAGCUACUCAGAUGUCCCUCAACUGAGGAAUGGAUAUAGAAAAUGUGAUUCAUUUGCACAAUGGAAAACUAUUCAGCUAUUAAAAACACAGACAUCAUGAAUUUUACAGGCAAAUGGAUGGAACUAGAAAAUAUCAUCCUGCGUGAGGUAAUCCAGACACAAAAGGACAUGCAUGACAGGAGCCUGGCAUGCCUAUCCUCUGAGAGUUAAGGGAGGGACCGAAGGAACUGGAGGGAGUUGCAACUCCAUAGGAAGACCAACAGUGUCAACUAACCUGGAUCCCUGGGAGCUCCAGUAGAUGGGACCUCCAUUGGAGGGAUGAGACAUCAAGCGAUCUACAAAACUUUCGACUUAGAAUUGCUCCUGUCUAAAAGAAAUGCAGGAACAAAAAUGGAGCUGAGACUUAAGGAAUGGCUGUCCAAUGAGAGGCCCAACUUGGAAUCCAUCCCAUGGACAGGCACCAUCCCUACAAAGGGAGAUGUGGAGGGAGGGCAACAUUUU
rnacentral:lncRNA from 1 species